UCAAGAGGAACAGAACUCAAGCAUGGACGCUUUGGCCAAGGCACACAUUCAAAAUUUACAUGUUCGUUCAACAUUGAGCCAAAUUUCUAUCCUGGAAUUCAAUUACUUAUUUACCAUGCAACUCAAAAUGGGAAAUUUAGUGAAGAUUCAAUAUUUAUACCAGUAAAAGGAAAUCCGACGAAUAAUUUUGUUAGCAUAUCGACACAUCAAAGGUCAUGCAAUCCAGGUGAGACUUUGAGAUUUACAGUAAACUCGACAAGGAAUUCCGUUGUCUAUCUUUUAACUAUCGAUGAAGGAAUUCAUAGAUCACAACAUGGAUUCGACAUAAACAUUGAUGAUAUAAAUGCCGCGCUUACAGGCAUUGUAAGUCAGUUCCAGAACAUUAAAAUGUUGGGAGGAAUUUCUACACUAACGGAAACCUCAGG